rnacentral:rRNA from 1 species
GUGCUUAACACAUGCAAGUCGAGUGCGCGUGCCGUAGCAAUACGGUAUGGCGCACGGCGCACGGGUGCGUAACACGUGGGCAAUCUGCCCUCCGGUGGGGAAUAACCCCGCGAAAGCGGGGCUAAUUCCGCAUAACAUUCCCUGGACUUCGGUUCGGGGAUUCAAAGCAGCAAUGCGCCGGAGGAGGAGCCCGCGCCCGAUUAGCUAGUUGGUGAGGUAACGGCUCACCAAGGCAAUGAUCGGUAGCUGGUCUGAGAGGAUGGCCAGCCACACUGGAACUGAGACACGGUCCAG